AUUGAACGCUGGCGGCAUGCCUUACACAUGCAAGUCGAACGGCAGCACAGGUGCUUGCACCUGGUGGCGAGUGGCGAACGGGUGAGUAAUACAUCGGAACAUGUCCUGUAGUGGGGGAUAGCCCGGCGAAAGCCGGAUUAAUACCGCAUACGAUCUACGGAUGAAAGCGGGGGACCUUCGGGCCUCGCGCUAUAGGGUUGGCCGAUGGCUGAUUAGCUAGUUGGUGGGGUAAAGGCCUACCAAGGCGACGAUCAGUAGCUGGUCUGAGAGGACGACCAGCCAACCUGGGACUGAGACACGGCCCAGACUCCUACGGGAGGCAGCAGUGGGGAAUUUUGGACAAUGGGCGAAAGCCUGAUCCAGCAAUGCCGCGUGUGUGAAGAAGGCCUUCGGGUUGUAAAGCACUUUUGUCCGGAAAGAAAUCCUUGGCCCUAAUACGGUCGGGGGAUGACGGUACCGGAAGAAUAAGCACCGGCUAACUACGUG
rnacentral:rRNA from 1 species